rnacentral:rRNA from 1 species
CCUACGGGUGGCAGCAGUGGGGGAUAUUGCACAAUGGGGGGAACCCUGAUGCAGCGACGCCGCGUGGGUGAAGGAGUAUUUCGGCAUGUAAAGCCCUAUCGGCAGGGAAGAAUUUAGACGGUACCUGACUAAGAAGCCCCGGCUAACUACGUGCCAGCAGCCGCGGUAAUACGUAGGGGGCAAGCGUUAUCCGGAUUCACUGGGUGUAAAGGGAGCGUAGACGGCCAGGCAAGCCUGGAGUGAAAGCCCGGGGCCCAACCCCGGGACUGCUCUGGGAACUGUCCGGCUGGAGUGCGGGAGGGGCAGGCGGAAUUCCUGGUGUAGCGGUGAAAUGCGUAGAUAUCAGGAGGAACACCGGCGGCGAAGGCGGCCUGCUGGACCGCGACUGACGUUGAGGCUCGAAAGCGUGGGGAGCGAACAGGAUUAGAUACCCUAGUAGUC